UACGUAGGUGGCAAGCGUUGUCCGGAAUUAUUGGGCGUAAAGCGCGCGCAGGCGGCCUCUUAAGUCUGAUGUGAAAGCCCCCGGCUCAACCGGGGAGGGCCAUUGGAAACUGGGAGGCUUGAGUAUAGGAGAGAAGAGUGGAAUUCCACGUGUAGCGGUGAAAUGCGUAGAGAUGUGGAGGAACACCAGUGGCGAAGGCGACUCUUUGGCCUAUAACUGACGCUGAGGCGCGAAAAGCGUGGGGGAGCAAACAGG
rnacentral:rRNA from 1 species